GCUAGGUGUAGAGGUGCAUGCCUGUAAUCCUAGCAACCUGGGAGGUUGAGGCAGGAGGACUGCAAGUUUGAGGCCUACCUGGGUUAAUUUAGUGAGAUUCUGCCUCAA
rnacentral:sRNA from 1 species